CGAACGCUGGCGGCAGGCCUAAUACAUGCAAGUCGGACGGCUCUUCGGAGCAGUGGCGGACGGGUGAGUAACGCGUGGGAAUGUGCCCUUUGGUACGGAACAACACAGGGAAACUUGUGCUAAUACCGUAUGUGCCCUUCGGGGGAAAGAUUUAUCGCCAUUGGUGCAGCCCGCGUUGGAUUAGGUAGUUGGUGAGGUAAAGGCUCACCAAGCCUACGAUCCAUAGCUGGUCUGAGAGGAUGACCAGCCACACUGGGACUGAGACACGGCCCAGACUCCUACGGGAGGCAGCAGUAGGGAAUCUUGCGCAAUGGGCGAAAGCCUGACGCAGCCAUGCCGCGUGUAUGAUGAAGGUCUUAGGAUUGUAAAAUACUUUCACCGGGGAAGAUAAUGACGGUACCCGGAGAAGAAGCCCCGGCUAACUUCGUGCCAGCCGCCGCCGUAACAC
rnacentral:rRNA from 1 species